rnacentral:rRNA from 1 species
ACGGGUGAGUAACACGUGAGCAACCUGCCGGGAAGCCCGGGAUAGCCCUCCGAAAGUAGGAUUAAUACCGGAUGUGGCCACCCUGCGAUUGCAGGGGAAGCUAAAGGAUUUAUUCACUUCCCGAGGGGCUCGCGGCCCAUCAGCUUGUUGGUGAGGGUAACGGCCCACCAAGGCGACAACGGGUAGCUGGUCUGAGAGGAUGGUCAGCCACACUGGAACUGAGACACGGUCCAGACACCUACGGGUGGCAGCAGUCGAGAAUCAUUCGCAAUGGGGGAAACCCUGACGAUGCGACGCCGCGUGGAGGAUGAAGGCCUUAGGGUUGUAAACUCCUGUCAAGAGGGAAUAAGCAAGUGAAGGUACCUCUAGAGGAAGGGGCGGCUAAUUCCGUGCCAGCAGCCGCGGUAACACGGAAGCCCCGAGCGUUGUUCGGAUUCAUUGGGCGUAAAGGGUGCGUAGGCGGCGCGGAAAGUCCGGCGUGAAAGGCAGGGGCUCAACCUCUGGACUGCGUUGGAUACUUCCGUGCUUGAGGACUGGAGGGGAGACUGGAAUUCACGGUGUAGCAGUGAAAUGCGUAGAUAUCGUGAGGAAGACCGGUGGCGAAGGCGAGUCUCUGGACAGAUCCUGACGCUGAGGCACGAAGGCUGGGGGAGCGAACAGGAUUAGAUACCCUGGUAGUCCCAGCAGUAAACGAUGUGAGCUUGAUGUGGGGGGAUUCGACCCCUUCCGUGUCGAAGCUAACGCGAUAAGCUCACCGCCUGAGGAGUACGGCCGCAAGGCUAAAACUCAAAGAAAUUGACGGGGACCCGCACAAGCGGUGGAGUAUGUGGCUUAAUUCGAUGCAACGCGAAGAACCUUACCUGGCCUUGACAUGCAUUGUGUCGUCGGUGAAAGCCGGCUAGUCCUGGAAACAGGACGCUUUGCACAGGUGCUGCAUGGCUGUCGUCAGCUCGUGUCGUGAGAUGUUGGGUUAAGUCCCGCAACGAGCGCAACCCUUGUGGUCAGUUACUAACCGGCUUAGCCGGAGGACUCUGGCCAGACUGCCCUGUCAAACGGGGAGGAAGGUGGGGACGACGUCAAGUCAGUAUGGCCCUUAUGGCCAGGGCUGCACACGUACUACAAUGCCCGGUACAAUGUGAACCGAAACCGCGAGGUGGAGGAAAUCGCU